rnacentral:rRNA from 1 species
AAAGCGUGCGCAGGCGGUUAUACAAGACAGGCGUGAAAUCCCCGGGCUUAACCUGGGAACUGCAUUUGUGACUGUAUAGCUGGAGUGCGGCAGAGGGGGAUGGAAUUCCGCGUGUAGCAGUGAAAUGCGUAGAUAUGCGGAGGAACACCGAUGGCGAAGGCAAUCCCCUGGGCCUGCACUGACGCUCAUGCACGAAAGCGUGGGGAGCAAACAGGAUUAGAUACCCGAGU